GACGAACGCUGGCGGCGUGCUUAACACAUGCAAGUCGAGCGGUAAGGCCCUUUCGGGGGUACGACGAGCGGCGAACGGGUAGAGUAACACGUGGGUGACCUCGCCCUCCAGCGUCUGGGAGUAAGACCUGGGAAACCGGGGUACUAAUACCGGAUAUGACUCCAUGACGCAUGUUGUGGGGUAGGAAAGCCUUGUGCGGCUGAGGAUGGGCCCGCGGCCUAUCAGCUUGUUGGUGGGGUGAUGGCCUACCAAGGCGACGACGGGUAGCCGGCCUGAGAGGGCGACCGGCCACACUGGGACUGAGACACGGCCCA
rnacentral:rRNA from 1 species